rnacentral:tRNA from 1 species
GCUCCUGUCGUCUAGCCCGGUCAAGGAUAGUGGCCUUUCGAGCCACUUACGCGGGUUCAAAUCCCGCCGGGAGCA